UAACUGCUGGCAAAAUAAAACAAAGAAAAUAAAAACCCAAACAUUUAAGAAAAGCUGAGACAUUUUCUUUUUAAUUUAGGCUUCAUUCAGUGUAAGCCAGGAAGAUGCUUAUGUGAAAUGGGCUUUCUUCCACAAUGUGUCUUACCUGCUGGCUGUAAAUAAGUGAAUUCCUAAAAUCAUGCCAGUCAGCCAUCUUGGUAUGAGCUUUGUUUUUCUACUCUCAUUGUAGAAUCUGAGAAUACUAGAGCUGGAUUCUAGUAAGUCUUGUGUAUUAUGUCUGGUCAUCAUCUCAUUUUUUGACCAUUUGAUUUUUUUUUUCAGGUGACUUUUUUUUCCUGGCUGAAGCAGAAGGAAUAUCGCCAACUUAUCCUGACUUCAGAUUGUUUAUAGUCCUGGCUGCUGGAAAAAAAAAUCACCCUCAGAUGUGUGCGUUGCCUUUGGAGAAAGCUAGGAAGGGUAAAAAGGGCUUUUUUUUUUUUUUUUUUUGGCAUUUAUAUAUUCUUUAAACUGUUUUUAUUUGUUAUUACCUUAUUUAUGUUGUUUGUUUUUAAAGUGGCAUAUCUUUUAUCGGUCACUCUUCCUGGGGAAAUUUAAACUACAGUGAAGUAAUAUUUGGUAGCUUUACAUAGCCAAGGAAUUAGUCUGGACAAUGAAUAAGCCAGGUGACAGCCCAUUUGACUAAAGACCAGAGGGACACACUCACAGUCACAGGGUUUGCCUUUGGGAAAUCAGCUUCCAAGGCAAACCCAGGCCCAGGAGACAGGCGCCUUUCCCAAGGCCUCGACUGAUGCAGAAUCCGGACCAGGUAAUGGAUGUCAUGGAUGCAUUUGUAUUAGAAAAUCUCCACCUAACAUCUUGUGAUGUAGAUCUGCAUCCUUUUCAUCACGGAAGACAUCAUUCUGUGAGAACAGGAACAGAAAGUAAAGAGAAUGAAGUGGGACAGGAGACAGACUCCCUGAGGUGCUUUGAAAACUCCAGAGUAUAUAAGAGCGUCGGAUGAAUCCAAGUUAAAGUGCAUUAAUAAAUACUGCUUCCCUCAAACUUGCAACAUUGGUGUAAUCAUUAUUCCCAUAUCAUAGACAAAGAAGUUACUUGACUAUUGAAACCCCCCUAGUCGGGGCAGAGCUGGGGCCCGAGCCCAGGCAUCCUAAGACCUCCUGCUGUCCCAGCUGUCUCCCUUUUGGCAUCCAGAGCACAUCGUCUGGAGAAUGCUUUUAAUUAUCACCUCGCCCAGAGUGCGAAGAUUUACCGGUAUGCUUUCCUCCGGCCCCAUCUUAAGCACCCCUUUGGGAAAUAGAGUGAUCACGAUAGGAAUCAGGGUAUUUUCAUGUGUGGAAGGGAAUGGAAUGCAGGCGUCACACACGUUUGUUGCCCCUGAAGGCUCUGAGAAGGGGGCGGGGGGACGUAGACUGUUGAAUAGUUAGUGAGGCAAUCCCAGCGUCCUCAGCACCCUGAGUUUUCGACAAGAACCCAAAGGUUCUUUGGGUUUAUUUCCCACACUGGUGAAUUCAGCCUGGCUGCUGAGUUCCUUCAGUUCAGCCUGUGUUUCCCUGACAUCUGGAGCUGGGCUUCCUGAGUCAAGGCUAGGACAGAAGCAGCUGCACUUCUCCUUUUCUGGGGGGUGUGCACACACGCACAGGCACACACGCGUGCGUGCAUGAGGGCUAUCCCCAUGACCAUCAUGCCAACAUAAGGCUCAAAAGAAAUUGGGGCCACAGAGGAAGGGAAAAUCCCAUUUGUGACAGUAAUUCUUAGUGGUCCCAGAUCACAAGUUGUAAGGUCCGAACAAUGUGCAGAUGGCCAGGGUAUGGGGGAUCUUAGGCAAUGGGGGCUGACCUUGCUUUAACUUCCUCAAGUGUUCCUUCAAGAGAGUGUCCCAAUCUCUGGUGGCAAAGUCUUUCAGGCAGCAGCCUCAUGGCGGGAGAGGGAACUGAUGAACCAAAUGUGCUGAUGCUAACAGGGUUAUUUUAAUCGGAGGAACUGGUUUUGGUGGCAGCAGACAGUCAGUCCACAUCUUCAAAACAAGAGUUCUUAAGCAAAGCAAUUUCCUUCUUCCUUGAAGGCCACUAUUUAUCUACAGGACAGAACUACAGGUUCACUGAAAAUGACCAGAUUCAGCAAAGCGACCAAGACUAUUGACUUGGUGUAAUCUGUCUCCCAUCUCAGAUGUCACCUGAUGGAAGAACAUUACAGUAAAGAACUACAAGGUAACAUUUUGGGGAUAAUUAGUCAUUUCUGGGCAGUACGCUCAAUACCUUACAUACAUUGUCUCUAUCAGGGAGAUGCCAUUAUCACACCAAUCUUCUAGGGAAGAAAGUUGAGCUACAGAGAAAGGUUACUCAGCAAGUGGCAGAGCAAGGAUUUGAACCCAGCGGUCUGACUAGUCACUUCAGCCAUUUAGAAAGUACUACAAGAAUGACCAUUCAUUUCCCUCUCUGGGAGGGAAAACUCACAAAGCCCCUCACCCUGUUUUCUAGAUAUUCCACUCAUUUUCUUUUCCUCAUUAAACUAUAAUGUUCAACGUCUUAUUCAGAGUCAUCUGUACCUGUCUAGAAAAGCAUAUUUGAUUAGUGUUCUCUCCCUAUUGUUGGGAAACUCUUAGUCAUAU